rnacentral:rRNA from 1 species
CGGAGGGUGCGAGCGUUAAUCGGAAUUACUGGGCGUAAAGCGCGCGUAGGUGGCUUGAUAAGCCGGUUGUGAAAGCCCCGGGCUCAACCUGGGAACGGCAUCCGGAACUGUCAAGCUAGAGUGCAGGAGAGGAAGGUAGAAUUCCCGGUGUAGCGGUGAAAUGCGUAGAGAUCGGGAGGAAUACCAGUGGCGAAGGCGGCCUUCUGGACUGACACUGACACUGAGGUGCGAAAGCGUGGGGUAGCAAACAGGAUU